UGACUGUUUGCUUAAAUUUGGGUCUCAAAGAAUCUUUUUUUAAUUCUGCCUGUACUCUCCACCCCUCUUCUUCUAUUGCUCAGGUUGAAGCAGAAUUUGCCCGUCUUACAUCUGUUGACCUGAAAGGGUUCCUUUUUGCUGUGCUUGACCAUUAUGGAGAGGUUCGUGGAGCUGUACAAAAUCAAGAGCGGCAUAGAAAGGCUAACUAGGCUCAUAAGAUGCUUCGGAGAUGAUAGCCCUACACAAAGGAAGAGGACAGAGGACCUCAUUUUCUAAAGGAAGAUCCCUCACACACUUUCAAGACUGUGAAGCCGACAGGUAUUGAAGACACGUUUUCUAAGAGGAUGAAAGUUGGCAUUGCGAUGGUGAAAGAAGAAGACAUCGAUGUGUUGGUUGUCCUUGAGGCAGUAGUAAUCCUGUCUAAUCUGAGGGAUGUCUCAAGUGCCAUUUCCAUGCUGAUGGGCCUU